rnacentral:rRNA from 1 species
AUUGAACGCUGGCGGCAUGCCUUACACAUGCGAGUCGAACGGCAGCACGGGAGCAAUCCUGGUGGCGAGUGGCGAACGGGUGAGUAGUAUAUCGGAACGUGCCCAGUCGUGGGGGAUAACGCAGCGAAAGCUGUGCUAAUAACGCAUACGAUCUAAGGAUGAAAGCGGGGGAUCGCAAGACCUCGCGCGAUUGGAGCGGCCGAUAUAAGAUUAGCUAGUUGGUGGGGUAAAGGCCCAACAAGGCGACGAUCUGUAGCUGGUCAGAGAGGACGACCAGACACACUGGAACUGAGACACGGUCCAGACUCCUACGGGAGGCAGCAGUGGGGAAUUUUGGACAAUGGGCGCAAGCCUGAUCCAGCAAUGCCGCGUGCAGGAUGAAGGCCUUCGGGUUGUAAACUGCUUUUGUACGGAACGAAACGGCCCUUUCUAAUACAGGGGGCUAAUGACGGUACCGUAAGAAUAAGCACCGGCUAACUACGUGCCAGCAGCCGCCGUAAAAC